AUUGAACGCUGGCGGCAUGCCUUACACAUGCAAGUCGAACGGCAGCGGGGGAGAAGCUUGCUUUUCCUGCCGGCGAGUGGCGAACGGGUGAGUAAUACAUCGGAACGUGCCCUGUAGUGGGGGAUAACUAGUCGAAAGAUUAGCUAAUACCGCAUACGACCUGAGGGUGAAAGUGGGGGACCGCAAGGCCUCAUGCUAUAGGAGCGGCCGGUGUCUGAUUAGUUAGUUGGUGGGGUAAAGGCCUACCAAGGCGACGAUCAGUAGCUGGUCUGGGAGGACGAUCAGCCACACUGGGACUGAGACACGGCCCAGACUCCUACGGGAGGCAGCAGUGGGGAAUUUUGGACAAUGGGCGAAAGCCUGAUCCAGCAAUGCCGCGUGUGUGAAGAAGGCCUUCGGGUUGUAAAGCACUUUUGUCCGGAAAGAAAUGGCUCUGGUUAAUACCUGGGGUCGAUGACGGUACCGGAAGAAUAAGGACCGGCUAACUACGUGCCAGCCGCCGCCGUAA
rnacentral:rRNA from 1 species